GAUGAACGCUGGCGGCGUGCCUAAUACAUGCAAGUCGAGCGAACGGACGAGAAGCUUGCUUCUCUGAUGUUAGCGGCGGACGGGUGAGUAACACGUGGAUAACCUACCUAUAAGACUGGGAUAACUUCGGGAAACCGGAGCUAAUACCGGAUAAUAUUUUGAACCGCAUGGUUCAAAAGUGAAAGACGGUCUUGCUGUCACUUAUAGAUGGAUCCGCGCUGCAUUAGCUAGUUGGUAAGGUAACGGCUUACCAAGGCAACGAUGCAUAGCCGACCUGAGAGGGUGAUCGGCCACACUGGAACUGAGACACGGUCCAGACUCCUACGGGAGGCAGCAGUAGGGAAUCUUCCGCAAUGGGCGAAAGCCUGACGGAGCAACGCCGCGUGAGUGAUGAAGGUCUUCGGAUCGUAAAACUCUGUUAUUAGGGAAGAACAUAUGUGUAAGUAACUGUGCACAUCUUGACGGUACCUAAUCAGAAAGCCACGGCUAACUACGUGCCAGCAGCCGCGGUAAUACGUAGGUGGCAAGCGUUAUCCGGAAUUAUUGGGCGUNAAGCGCGCGUAGGCGGUUUUUUAGUCUGAUGUGAAAGCCCGCGGCUCAACCGUGGAGGGUCAUUGGAAACUGGAAAACUUGAGUGCAGAAGAGGAAAGUGGAAUUCCAUGUGUAGCGGUGAAAUGCGCAGAGAUAUGGAGGAACACCAGUGGCGAAGGCGACUUUCUGGUCUGUAACUGACGCUGAUGUGCGAAAGCGUGGGGAUCAAACAGGAUUAGAUACCCUGGUAGUCCACGCCGUAAACGAUGAGUGCUAAGUGUUAGGGGGUUUCCGCCCCUUAGUGCUGCAGCUAACGCAUUAAGCACUCCGCCUGGGGAGUACGACCGCAAGGUUGAAACUCAAAGGAAUUGACGGGGACCCGCACAAGCGGUGGAGCAUGUGGUUUAAUUCGAAGCAACGCGAAGAACCUUACCAAAUCUUGACAUCCUUUGACAACUCUAGAGAUAGAGCUUUCCCCUUCGGGGGACAAAGUGACAGGUGGUGCAUGGUUGUCGUCAGCUCGUGUCGUGAGAUGUUGGGUUAAGUCCCGCAACGAGCGCAACCCUUAAGCUUAGUUGCCAUCAUUAAGUUGGGCACUCUAAGUUGACUGCCGGUGACAAACCGGAGGAAGGUGGGGAUGACGUCAAAUCAUCAUGCCCCUUAUGAUUUGGGCUACACACGUGCUACAAUGGACAAUACAAAGGGCAGCGAAACCGUGAGGUCAAGCAAAUCCCAUAAAGUUGUUCUCAGUUCGGAUUGUAGUCUGCAACUCGACUACAUGAAGCUGGAAUCGCUAGUAAUCGUAGAUCAGCAUGCUACGGUGAAUACGUUCCCGGGUCU
rnacentral:rRNA from 1 species